UAAAUUAGUUCUGCCCAAUGAUUUAAUAAUUCAAUGGCUGCAGUAUUUUAACUGUGCGAAGGUAGCAUAAUUAUUAGCUUAUUAAUUAUGAGCUUGUAUGAAUGGUUAAUUGAAAUUUUAACUUUCUUUAAAUUAUUUUUUUGAAUUUAUAUUUUUUGUUAAAAUACAAGGAUUUAUUUAUAAGACGAGAAGACCCUAUAAAACUUAAAUAAAUUUAUCUAAAUAUUUAGAUAAAUUUAUUUAGAUUGGGGAGAUUUUGGAAUAUUAUCAACUUUCAAAUAUUUUAUUUCACAAAUUAUUGUUUUGUCGAUAAAUUUUAAUAAAUAUAAGAUAAAGUUACUUUAGGGAUAACAGCGUAUUUAGUUGAGAGUUCUUAUUGAUAUUAGUUUGCGCCUC
rnacentral:rRNA from 1 species